AAUGGUGGAAUUUCCAGUCUUUGGUGGCACCAAAGAAGUCCCUUUUUACAGGACAUCCUGGAUGCCUACGAGUCCAGGAUGUCCUGUAAAGGGACUUUGCAAAGUAAAGGAACUUUGCAAAGUAAAGGUCGGGUCUGUCGCAAGCUGAAGGCCCCUCUUUCAGCCUGCGACAGAGUCACAAAAAUUUAUAAAUAUCAAAAGAAGAAAGCGGCCCGAUCAGCAGCCUCUCUUCCACCACCUCCGCAAAUGGAAGAAGUCCACGACAUGGCUUCCAGAAGGGGCAGCUGGAGAUGUCGGUGGGCUGUCCGACGACCCCGGGAUGGACAACUGUGAGGACGAUGAUGAGCAGGAUGAAGGUGUUGAGGACACGUUCCCAAGCUGGAGUCAUAAAAACCUACUUGAUUUUGUUUUUUACUUUGUCUAUUUUACAUAAUUCAAAAUAAAGAUUUUAACUCACGC
rnacentral:lncRNA from 1 species